rnacentral:rRNA from 1 species
UUGGAGGGCAAGUCUGGUGCCAGCAGCCGCGGUAAUUCCAGCUCCAAUAGCGUAUAUUAGAGUUGUUGCAGUUAAAAAGCUCGUAGUUGAAUUUCGGGAUCAAUAUGUUGGUCAUGCUUAGGUAUGUACUGGUAUUAUUGAUUUCUCCCUUCUGAAGAACCAUAAUGUCAUUAAUUUGAUGUCAUGGGGAAUCAGAACUGUUACUUUGAAAAAAUUAGAGUGUUUAAAGCAGGCUUUCGCUUGAAUACAUUAGCAUGAAAUAAUGAAAUAGGACGUUUGAUUCUAUUUUGUUGGUUUCUAGGAUCGACGUAAUGAUUAAUAGGGAUAGUUGGGGGCAUUAGUAUUCAAUUGUCAGAGGUGAAAUUCUUGGAUUUAUUGAAGACUAACUACUGCGAAAGCAUUUGCCAAGGAUGUUUUCAUUAAUCAAGAACGAAAGUUAGGGGAUCGAAGACGAUCAGAUACCGUCGUAGUCUUAACCAUAAACUAUGCCGACUAGGGAUCGGAUGAUGUUAAUUUUUUAAUGACUCAUUCGGCGCCUUACGGGAAACCAAAGUGUUUGGGUUC